UCAAGAGUACGUGAAACCGUUCAGGGGUAAACCUGAGAAACCCAAAAGAUCGAAUGGGGAGAUUCAUCGUCAGCGUCGUUGGCUUCCGUGCGGUGCGCGAUGGCGGGGACCCGGUCUCGCGUCACGCCGCGCUGCGGCAUGUCCGAUGACGUCGGCGUGCACUUCUCCCCUAGUAGGACGUCGCGACCCGUUGGGUGUCGCCUACGGCCCGGUUGGUCGCCUGUCGCGUCGCGUUCGCGCGCUCGCGGCAGACCACCGUCGCCCGGCCGGCUGCCCGGCGGUAUAGAUCGCUUUACGGUAUUGAGCCGCAUAAGUGCGUUCUGGCUCGUCGGCAGGCUCGCCUCGCCCGAUACGGACCUAGUGCCGUGACCGGACGCUUGGCGCGGCUUUAGUCGACGAUGUCCUCGGACUGGCUCGAACUUCGAAAGGAUAUACCGGUCGGCGACGCUACUGCUUUGGGUACUUUCAGGACCCGUCUUGAAACACGGACCAAGGAGUCUAACAUGUACGCGAGUCAUUGGGACUUGUAAGCCUAAAGGCGCAAUGAAAGUGAAGGUCGGCCUAGUCGACCGAGGGAGGA
rnacentral:rRNA from 1 species